rnacentral:rRNA from 1 species
CAAGAACCACACAGAAAAGGGAGGCAAAGGGGCCUACAGGGCUAGUAGCUUAUACGUUGUUGAACGUCCUGCCUGGACCCGGAGCCGCCCCCAUCUAAACCCUCUGCGUACCUGUCCCUUCUUGCUUCCCCCGGCAUCUCGUCGGGGGGAGGUAACAACCAAAACUCUCUGUGAAUCAAACAGCCGUCAGAAUUAUAAAACAAACAAAAGUUAAAACUUUCAACAACGGAUCUCUUGGUUCCCACAUCGAUGAAGAACGCAGCGAAAUGCGAUAAGUAAUGUGAAUUGCAGAAUUCAGUGAAUCAUCGAAUCUUUGAACGCACAUUGCGCCCCCUGGUAUUCCGGGGGGCAUGCCUGUUCGAGCGUCAUAAAAACCUCCUCCCCCUUCGGGUUUUGUUACUAUCGUUGGGGGGUUUUGGCCUAAUGGGAUAGCGAUUGGCAAUUCGUUUCCCAAUGUCCUAAAUAGACGUAGACCCGCCUCCAGAUGCGACAGCACCGAGGCCAUCAACCGUGGAGUUAUGGGAUAUAAUAGGCUUGCAGUAAAAUGCUCACCUCUCUCCACACGCCGAUGGCACGACAGUUGCAGUUGCGGGCGUAAAUUGGAGCCCUUUUCAGGACCCUUGUGGCUUAGCAUCCACCAUACAUAAUUUGACCUCGGAUCAGGUAGGGAUACCCGCUGAACUUAAGCAU